rnacentral:rRNA from 1 species
UACGGAGGAUGCAAGCGUUAUCCGGAAUGAUUGGGCGUAAAGCGUCCGCAGGUGGCAAUGUAAGUCUGCUGUUAAAGAGUGAGGCUCAACCUCAUAAGAGCAGUGGAAACUACAUAGCUAGAGUGCGUUCGGGGCAAAGGGAAUUCCUGGUGUAGCGGUGAAAUGUGUUGAUAUCAGGAGGAACACCCAUGGCGAAGGCAGCAAACUGGGCAUUAACUGACGCUGAGGCGCGAAAGCGUGGGUAGCAAACAGG